AUAAAAUCUAACUGCCUUAAUAGGCCCACCUGGCCCUUCCCGAGGCCCCAGCCACACGCCUCUCUGUUUUCUAGCCUUCCAAAUUAAAAUUUAAAAAAGCAUCUGGUUCAAAGGACAUGUUUUAUUUAUAACAUUAAAACCGAGCUCUUGAUUACGUCCCUCCCCUUUCCCUAACGGUUUCCUGCCACCACCUUGAACUCCUCUAACACGGAGCCCAGAAGACACUCACCAAAUACUUGUUGACGGGUCUGCAGAGAACGGGGAGUUUUGCACCUCCGGGGCCAGGUGUUCGGUGAGCAAUGCUAAAGAGACACUGGGAGAUCGCUUGCCAGUCCAUGAAUUAUGCAUGGAUUUCUACUUCCCUUCCCAAAGCGAGCACUAGCACCGUGGACGGUAGCUCUUCUCCAAAGAGGCCCCGGGGACCCAGACCUCCCACAUUCAUACUCCUGUCCACAUCACCCCACAUUGACUCUCUUUGGCCCCGUGACCCACUUUAACCAAAAGAAUGUGGUGGAAAUGGGACACGGCACCAACAGCUUCUACGUUGGCCCUUUUGGGAGCGUUGAACCGCCACCUCCGAUGUCCAGCUGCCCUUCUGGAGAGUCUCCAGGGCAACACUGAGGCCCUGGGUCUACAUGGAAGGAAGGCAGAGGCCCAGGUAUCCCAACACUCCAGAUGAGCCAGUUUCCCAGGCACCUGUGACAAGGCCUGGACAUGUGCUGAAGCCUCCUUGGCUGCUCUAACCCAAGCUUCAGGGCGACUGCAAACAGGAGAGAGUCCCAAUCAUCAGAGGAGCCAUCCAGCUGUGCACCAUCAGUGGAGAGAAUCAUGCAAAAUAAUAAAACAGUUGUUUAUAAAUAAUAAUAAAUAAUAAUAAACAGUUGUUUAUAAAUAAUAAUAAACUGUUGUUUAUAAAUAAUAAAUAAUAAUAAACAGUUGCUUAUCAAUGAUAAUAAAUAAUAAUAAACUGUUGUUUAGCUAUUCAGUGUUGAGUGGUUCGUUAUACAGCAACACGGACAACUGAAACACUAUGUGCCCAGACGCCUGGCAAUCCUCUUUUCAUUUCUCCCCUUCAUCCUCCACAUUGGGGUUCCAGCCCCUUUGAUGAUGCCUCCUAAAUAUUUCUUGAAUAGCACGUCCCCCCCACCCCCAUGCCACUGCCCAUUCCAAAUCCCCCUUCUCCAGCAUUGGAUGCCUCCUGUAGCAACAGGAAUCAUCUAAAAUGCUAAUAUGAUUAUGGUUUAUGCUGGCCAUCUAGAACUUUCUCAUCGAUCUCUAUGGUUUUUAGGAUAAAGUCCAAUCCUCUAACCAUUGCUUACAAAUCUGUGCAGGCUCUUGUCCCUGCCUAUUUUGCAGCUUCACCUUAUGUGACUCUACAUUACCAAUCAUCCUUGAUUUGUUUCAAUUUUUUCAGGGUAUCAUGUUGUCUCUUGAUUCCUUUUGCUUUUUUCCUUGUUGUUCUUUCUACCGAAAAUACUUUCUCCUGUGGUCAUCCCUUCCCCUUUCUCCUUUUUUCAAAUUCCUGCUCAUCCUUCAGGUCUUAGUUUAAAUAUCAUUUCCUCCUGGGAGCCUUCUCUGAUCCUCCAAGCCUGGAUUUGUUGUCCCUGCCAAGUGCUCCCAUAUCAUUCAUCAAUUCUUUCAUUCAUCAAAUUUUUAUUGAGCUUAUACUAUGAGUCAUACACUGUGUCAUCCUUCCCCUAUAAUAGCACUCAUCAUCCUGUUCUGUAAUUAUUUGUUUGUCUGGCUCUGCCGUGAGCCUGCAGGCUUGUCAAGGGAAAAGACUCUGUUUAUCUCAUUCUACUUUGUACCCCUGGUGUUUAGCACGUAAUAGAUGCUCAGUGCAAUGUAAUGAAUAAGUGAAACUAAAGUCAGUCUCCCCAGAUGGUAUGGCUAGUGGAAGGAAAUAAUUAUUCAAUACAUACUUGUUUCUGAUAAACAAACCACCUAAUAUUUUAUUUUAUUUUAUUUUAUUUAUUUUAUUUUAUUUUAUUUAUUUAUUUUAUUUUUUUUACCACCUAAUAGUGAAUAUUUGGCAAUAAAAAAGUUCAUGGUUUACUGGAGACAAAGUACAAUUUUCAGGGACAAAUCAGGAUAAAGACUCAAGUCCAGUUUGGCUUUCUCAAAGUAUAGUUAUUUACAAAUUAAGGGGCUAUAGUAGAGACCACUGAGUGUUAAGCCAGCGGCUUUGAUUCUGGCCCAUUGCAAACAUCGGGCUAGAUAGGAAAGCUAAAGCCAGAGAGUCACUGCAUCAUUUAUUUCACAGACAGCACUGGUGUCUGGGUACUACUCUGAGAACAGCUUAAAUAUAUUUGCUACAGAAAGAUAGGAUGUGAGGAAUAUCUUUAUCCCAAAGACCAAGCAUGCCUCAAUGAUGAGUGGUUUCCAGGGUGCUUAGACCUGGUAAUUGUGGGUCCCUCCCAAGAAGGACUGUCCCCCCGUUGGCUGUUAGGGAGCUUGGAGAAUGCUGGGUAAGUCAGUUUCAGAUAAUUGCCUCGCAUUCAUGGCCCCAUUUUAGGGUGAUUUCUGCAACAAACCUGGAGCAGCCACCAAAGCAUAGGGGGCAGACAAACAGGCAGAGCCCCCGCCACCGUGGAACAUGCGUUGGCAGCCAUCGGUGGCUGUUUCUGGCCAGCGAGGUUCUUGUAUUCAUCGCAAAGACUUUCUACUUUUAGCCUAAUUUUGGUAGUCCUUU
rnacentral:lncRNA from 1 species